UGCGCUUCAGAUCACCACACGGACCAACACUGUCGCCGCCGCACUACUCCUCCUGGUUCCUCCAUCAACAAACCCUAUCCAGAUCUACCCCUAGCUGGAAUUCGCGUUGUUGCGCGGAGGGGAAAUAAAUGGUAGUUUUCUCUCGCAUGGAUCAACGCCAGGGUUGUCGACCCCAUGAUGCCCGUGGUCUGAGAAAACUGGUCUUCUCUGCCGCGCUCAGCCUCACCAUCAACAUCAUCCCGAUCUGUGGUAUGGGGGUGCUGUCGAUUGUGUCUCCAUACAGUGGCAUACCCAGAAUUUUUUUAGAGCCUGGGUACAAAGUCUCGUCUAGCGAGCAAGACAAAGAGAAGGACAGAUCGACUUGAAUCAAUUUCAUCUCUGUCUAGGUUCCUCAAUGUGAGCAGUCGUCAAGUAUAGGCUAUGGAACAAUUGUGGACCAAUUGUUGCUGCUAGGGAACAGCCGAACAGGUCCAAGUUCACCCAUUUAAAGUCACAGAUAAGACUACUAUGUAAGUAGAGAGCUUGCUCGAGUCAGAACAUUAGCCAUAAAAGACCCAGUUAUAUAUGUCGCCAGGGACCGCAACCUAGAUAAGUGUGAAACCGCUGCAAAAAAACCUACACCAAUUACUAUCCUAGGAGCGGUCAAAAUGUUGCAGUAAGUUCUGUUCAGUAUAUUCAUGCAAUAUCACACCUUUCCUAAUUCGGAUAAGAAGAGUCAGGUAAUUUGUAUGGUAGCAUUCUUGUUGCAUCGCUGAACUGCUGGUGAGAUUCUGUAUUAUAUACCAUGUGCUUGUAGUAUGGUCGCACCAUUGAUUCUGGCUUAAAGAUUCCUGCAAGGCUCUCUGGUUAUGUUUUUUUGUUGAGGUAAUCUUGUUUAAUGGUCACACAAAAGUGUGAGAGGUAAUUGUUCCAUAUGCUCAUACUGUGAGAUGUAUUGUUCUUCUCAUGAUUUUCCAGCAAAUUUAAAAUUGAGGCUUAGUGCUCAAAAUAACAAUAUUUAUUUUAGCUUGUGAUAUUAUGUGUUCUCCGGAGAAUGGAAUUAGAACUGACAUCAGAUAGACUUGUUAAAUGUUUGUACCAAACAAAAGAUGGUAUGUAACUCUACAAACUAGCAGUUCAGCAUACAUGCUUUAUAAAUAUAUUCAUAUCUGUUGCAAAAAGGAGGAACACCAUUAAACCUUCUACUGUAGUAGUCCCAAACUUAGGAGAAGGUGACAAAUAGUUUUUUACCUCGCAGGUUCACAUGCUGGGAACUACGUUGGGUGUGUUUAUCAUCAACAUUGGUCUCGAGUCGGUUCACCCAUAUUCAGAACGAAUCAACUGAUAUUUUCUCUUGUGCCUAUUUUCUCUUGUGCCUCUUCUUGUGCUGGAAUCUAGAUCCAAAGACAGUGAUUGGCAAGGAGGAUGGAACGACCCUCGCUACCUUCACAUAUCAAAAUUUCCAAGUCAACACUCAGUUAUAUCAUUAUCCAGAAGAUUAGUGAGAUUUAAGCCAAGGGUGCCACCAUCUCAACUGGUGAGCAUCCAUGUUCAUAUACUCACUGUAAUUCAAUGCGAAAAUAUAUGUUCAUAUAUUUUGUUCAAUUGUUCCUUACAAAUUUAGCAAAAUUUUUAUUUGAUCACUUGUUGAGAAAGAGAAAGAUAAAAUAAGUUUAUGUUGUUAUAUAUAUUGUCAUAUGGUACAACAUUUAUAUUUUAUCUAUUCAAGAAUCAUGUGUACCUUCACUGUAACACACAAGCAAAUGUCAACCAGGACGGCUAUCUAUAUGGGAUCACUGUCUCAUGUGGUUGCGCAGAAACCUAUUUUCGUUAUGCAGCACAUACACUAUUUAAUAGGGAAAUAGCAGGCUCACUUUAUUCUAAAAUCUUGUGAAAUUCAGAUUUCCCUGAAGUUACGCCACAUGUUAUUCAUUCCCCAUACCACCUUAGGCUCGAAGGUGGAGAACAUAGCAGAUUUGUAGUUUACCAUUUGUUAGAGAUUCAGAAACCUACCGGAACAUUGUUAGCAAAAUCAAUAUGGGAAUGUAAAUACCACUUCAGGCACUUGAUUGUCUUUCAUUGUAUAAUUGGAGGUUAUGGCUUGCCCUUCUGGUACUUCAUUCAUGAAAUUUUGCGCAAGGUCGCUUUUAAUAACAUUUCUUGACUGGAUGAUCUAGAUAUCCUCUAUUAUACGCUGAUUAUUGCCUGUAGCUUGUUUGAAUGAGGGAGGUUAAAUAAUACCUGUUAAAGGCCAGUCGACCAAGGAUCUAAUCCAACUACUAGAGGGUGUGUACAUGCAAGAUGUAAGUCUACGUUUCAUGUUGUUUGUAAGGGUCUUGCUUCUGGUUCUAUAUUCGUAAUGUCCAAUGUGAUAUCAUGUUACAACAUGUUGUUUGUUCUCUGUUAUAGUUUUGUCCCUUAGGUUGCUCGUGUGUCCAAGGCCCAAAAACCUA